ensembl:lncRNA
GCGCAGGAUCGCGUGCGGGCGGUGGGCGCCACCGCUGAGGCCGCGGAGGGCGCGCCCGGCCUGGCCCAGCUUCUGGCCGAGCUCGGUGGCCUGGUUCGCGGCGACCUGCAGAAGGUGCACCUGGAGGUGCAGCCCGCGUACGCGGCCGUCGGCCUCCCCGCGUGGGAGACCUACCUGCGCGCCUUCCACGGUGCUGUGGCCCAGCGCCUGCAGGAGCUUGCGCCCGGCGCCCGCGGCUGUGAACAGCUGUACCUCCUGCUGGACUGGGCCGCCAACAUCUACGGCAGCCCUGACUUUCUGGAUGCCCCGGACCUGGCUCUGCCCGCGGAGCCGCUGCCUCCGGCUCCUGGCGCCCGACGUGUGGGCGCAGCUGGAGAGCGACUACACCCACUUCCUGGAGAGCAAGAUCUGGAGCUGCUUCGAACGCAUCCUGCAGCUGGAGCAGAGCCGCUGGGCAGCGGCCGAGGCCCCCGAGGUGCUGCAGGGCCGCUACCGCGCGCCGCUGUCCACGGACAUCCACAUGCUGGUGGCGGAGCACGUGAAGGCGGCCAGCGCCAUUUCUGCCGAGCUCGAAGCCACCACCCUGCGGAUCUGCGGGCGCGCGCUCCGCCUCUUUGUGCCCAGGUUUGAGAAGGCUUUGCUGGAGUCGGGGGCGGCGAGCGAGCAGCACUUGGGCGCCUACAUCAACGCCUGCGAGGAGCUCAGGACCAGUCUUCUGGACAGGUUCCCGGGAACCCUGGAGGAGUUGGAGAAGCCCCCUGGUGGCGGCUAUCCACAACUUCCAGAAGCACUUGCUCCAGGGCUUGCAGAGUGAUGUGCAGCCCCUCUUCAGGGUCGUGUGCAUCAAGAGCUGGCUGACUCAGGACAUGCUGUGUCCCCUCAUGGACAAGGUGAAGGCCUUUGCACGCCACCUCACACAUGUGGCCCCUCCAGUGGCCCAGGAGGUGCUGCAGGAGGCGCACCGCUUUGUGGUCCGAGAGUACCUGGCUCAGGUGCUGAGGCCGCACAAGCGCUUCCGGGCGAGGAGCGCGUGCGUGGCUCCCAGAAGAUGAGCGAGGAUGCCCAGGCCAUCAGUGAAACAUUCCAGGACUUGGUGCUGAAUCUGCACCCUCGAGCCUCCCGGUCUCUGCAGGGCUCUGAAGCCACGUGGCUGAACCAGGCCAUACCGUGCGUGGCUGAGAUCUUGGGCGAGACAUACAAAGAUGACAUCCGGCGUCACCUGGAGACACUCAUCCAGGGCUUCCCCGACAUCAGGCGCGACCAUGUGCUGGCCAUCCUGGCUCUGCGCAGACUGGGCCGCCGUCGGAACCACCGCCUGCUGCAGCACUCGCAAAACCUGCUGAGGGCUGCAGCUGGGGCAGGGCCUGGGGGCCUGAGGCCUGCCCGCAAGCACGUGCUCUUUGAGGAGAUCCCGGUGCCCGUCUCUGUGGAUGUGCUGAUCACCUGCAUCUAGUGCUCUGGACUGAGAGGGCUGGGGCGGGGGUGCCCCCUUGCCCUCCCCCAGGCUAGGAGCCGGGAAGUCAGUGGACUCUGCAGCCCGGAGUCGUCAUGGAAUAUUCCUCCUCAGCCACUCUUGCUGUUCAGCCCGGAGAAGGAUGGAGGCAUCUGAGGCAUUUGUGGGGGAGUUUGGGGCAGCCGGUCCCGGUCCCCUCCAUUCUGCCUGCCGGGGAAGGCCUCUCGCUUCAAAGUCUCCACCACCCCCGGAUGAGAGUGCAGGACAGAGUAUUCUACAAAUAAAUGUCAAUUAAACUGGUGCCUUCCUAUGGAGGCCCAGGCCAAGCUGGCCAGUGAGGGGGUCUCUGCCACCCACUGCACUGGUGGGAGGCGGGGGUGGGCAUGAGCUGGGGAGGCCCUGCCUGCAGCUGCAGAACCGGCUUCUGUCCUGGGGCCCGGGGUCCACAUUGCUCAGCCCCAUCCCAGGCAGCCCAGGCCUGGGGGACAGAAAGAGCCCAGGCUUGUCCUGCAGCUUGAGGUGUUUGGGUUGCAGAGGAGGGACUUCCCAGCAGUGCUCGGCUUUGAAUUCCCGCAUCGGGUGGUGACCCUCAGCUCGGGUGUGCACCUGCAACCGCCUUCUGCCUGAAGUGGGGCUUGGGCCAGAGGGCGAGGCUACUGGGGAAUCUAAUUGCCAUGGCUUGCGAGAAGCCCAAGGUGGUGCUGAGAAGCAGGCCUCACCUCCUCUCUGAGCCUGGCCCUGACCCUCCUGGGGUAGGCCAGGUAGCUGCAGGUGGCCAAGGUCCCAAGCACUGGGUGAACUUUCAUCUCUGGAGCACAGGGUCUCAAAGGCCACCCUGCAAGGUGAGUGGGGGACACACCUCUCCCAGGCCCCCGCUCUGUCCAUGCCCUGUGGACAGUGGGGGGGGGGCGGUGGCCAGACCACCUCUCCCCGCACCUGGGCUGCAACACAGGGCCAAGUCUGAGUCUGCUGAGCCCCCAGGCAAGCAGGCAAGUGCCUGGGGUACUUUGUCCCCUCGGGUACCAGGUGCCAGGGCAGUGCCCUCCCUGACAGCGGUUGCACCAGGGCUAGAGGCCAGGGCCUUGGCAGGGGAAUAUCCAGCUCUCCUUGGGCAGGGCGGACGGGGUGGGGCAGGAAGAAGGAAGUGGAGAAAUUGGAGUUCCCAGGCUCCAGGCAGAGCUGGGGGUGAGGCAGGGAGUGUGAGUACUGGUGCUGACAGGCAGUCCUUGUGCCCAGGGAGAAACUGAGGCUGCCAUAACUGGGGUUCGGGCUGAGAAGGGCCUGUCUGACCAUAGUGGAGGGGUCUGAGGGGGGAGCAGGGGACUCACUGACCAUCCCUGCCUGCCUGACACCACUGUUCCCGAGGGCCACUGGUGUCCCAGUGGGAGUUGCCAGCAGGGGCAGGUGGGGCUGGGGGAGGCUCAUCUGCCUGGUCCCAGCCAGUUCUCUCCAGGGAGGCGGAGUCCCAGUCCCGCCCCGAACUCCUGCGUCCCUGGCCUGCCCCUGGCCAGCCUGGACCUGCCCAGGCCCAGGUGGGGAAGCUGAAGGUUCUGGGGCUGGGCUGCCCAGGCAGGCUGGGAGGGUGCAGGAGGGCUGGGCCUUGCCGCUGUUACCUCCCUGUGUGACACAGUGACACUGUAGGCAAGCUCCUUUACCUUGCUGUGCCCCAGUCUUCUAGCUGUGAAGUGGGUGCUAUCAGCACCUCCCAGCCACGAAGCCAGCCCCUGGCCGCCCCAACACCCAGUGUCCCCAGCGUCUUCCUGGCCACGGUCUGCAAGGAAUGGUCACAAAGGCUCUGGAUGCAGGGAUUGGGACCCUGCUUGUGUGCAAGCUCUCGUGGGCGGAAGCACUGGGGGGCAAGGUAGGGAGGGAUGGCGACCUGGACCCGCCCUACAGCCUCAGGACUGUCUUCCUGAGGGUUUCUAGACCCGGGGACGGGAAGUUGGGUUUCCUGGCAGGACCUGUGCCUCCCUGCAAGGAGCGUCCGCGUGCACCUUGUGCCUUCCGGGAGCUCCACAGUGGCCGAGGACCAGCCUUGGCUCCCUGAGGCACCCUGGGGAGCAGGAGGUGAUGGCGGCUUCUCCGAGGGUGCAGUGGGAAGGCUGGCAGCAGGUGGCUGGGCUGUCCUGGGCUGAGGGCUGCUUGCCAUGGGCCUCGGCUGCCUUCCCUGUCAUUAUCUAGGCCAAGCACAGGGCUGGAAGGUCUGGCUGGCCAGCUGUCUGGAUAAGAAUGUGUGCGCGAGUGUGGGUCUGCACAUGUGCACAGCAUUCGCUAGCUGGGAUGAGGGCAUUACGCAGCCUCUCUGUGCGCGGAGCAGGACAGACCCGACAUCCUCUUGGCCCCUCAAGCUCAGACGCCAGCCUUUCCCCCACCCCGCCACUGUGGGACGCUCUGCUCCUCCCUCUUCAGGGCCUGCCCUGGCUCCCCAAGGCGUCCUGGAUUCUUCCUGACUGGGGCUUGCUUCUGGCCCUGGCCUUGAGGUCCUUGAGCAGGGCCCACUCUGCCAAACCUGGGGCUGCAUAGGACGGUAAGCUUGGCUUGCAGGGACUGCAGCACCCACCCAGCUCAGGCUCCCCAGACCUCCUGGCCCUCCUGGCCCUGGGCUCAGGCCUCGGCCCUGUUGGUGGGUGCUGCGCCAGAACAGCCUGCAGGAGGCUGAGGCUCCCAGCCUUCGUGGGUCUCCCCCCUAGCUGGACACCUGGAGGUCUCCCCUGGGACAUAGUCUCCGCGUGCGCCAUGUGGAGAGAGUGGCCGGUAGGGAGGGAGAUGUCCACAGGGUCCUGCCAGGAAGGCUAUGCUCAGGUGGCAGUCAGUGUGUCGCACAGACUCUCCCCUUCCUUCCUUGCCUGGUGACUUGGUGUUUUCCUCUCUGGCCCCAGGCCUCUGCAGGCCGUUCAUGGGGGCAGCACCCACAGCGGCCAGCAGGGCCUCCUGCAGAGCCCCUCUCCACGGUCCGGGUGGGGACAGGAGGCUGCAAGGCCCUCAAAGCCACCAUCCAUCCCCAGUCUCCCUCCCUUUGCUACACAAAACCCCUUUAGCACCCAGCACACCACAGGGGCUGCUGCAGGGCCACCAUCCACUGUCGUGCCUUCCCGCCAGCCCCGUGGAAGCUGCUUGGGACAGCUGUGCUGGGAGCCUGUGCCCCCGCUGUCCUGAAACACUUGAAGGGACUGCACUGUGCCAUGCCCACCUCAGCCCGAUCCUCUGCCAGGACUUCCUUGGGGGCCUGGACGUCACUGCAAAAGCCCUUCCUCCUUCCUGGACGGCCUGUUAGCUGUGUGCAUUUUUAGCUUUAAUGUUCUGUUUAAUGAUAAAUUCACAGAGAUCAAAAGCUUAAAGGGACAUUAAAGUUUUAAGGUGAAAAGUCCCCUUCUCACCCCCCAUAAAAAGUGGUACUUCCCCAAGCAACUGGCACAGAAAGUGGAAUUUCUGAUUGUGCUGGAGGCAUUGAUUGGGGUGAGGAGAUGGGAUGAUAAAACCAUCAUCUGGCUCUUGUCUGGUGGAAUCCCCAAACUCUGGAACUGCAGGGGCUUGGAAAGGAGGGAGUCGAGGCAGCAUCCACUGUUUCUGGGUCCCUGCUCCCCAGGGCUUCAGUUCUGCAGUGAAGGAUCAGCCUCCCAUCAAGUGGCCCUGGGCUAGAAGCCAGCACUGCGGCUGGCCAGCUGUGCAGCCCUGGGGAAGUCACUGUACCUCUCUGGGCUCGGUCUUCCUGUGAAAAACUGGGAGAUGGACACAGAAAGGCUGCCUUGACAGGAGGCCUGGCUCAGGGGAGGCAGAUCCAGCACAGACCAGUUGCAUAAGCUCCGUGCCAGGAGCCCUGAGGAUGCUGCAAGCCACAGAUGCCAAGGUUUGGGGCAGCUCCCUCCCUGCCCACCUCUUCCAGCCUCUUGGAGUUCCCUGGGACAGCGCCUGCCAUGUGACAGCUGAUGACAGGCCCCUGCCGGGGCCAGGGCUGCAGCUGCUUCCUGGAAAUCAUGCCAGCUCAGAGAACAGCCUGUGUGCAGCUGCCCCUGCCUGUCCCCAGCAACGGGGUGGACAUGCUUGGCAUUUUGCAUCACUGCCGAGAGCCCCUGGCUCAGGCUGGGCACCCUUGGGUGCAGCCCAUUACCCAUAGGAGGAAAGCCCCACGCCCAGGGGCUCCUCCCAGCUGCCACCUCCAGGCAGCCAUCCCACCCUUCGGUCCUCAGAGGCAGCUGGGGUCGGAUCCUGCUGUCCAGGGCCCCGCUUCUCCCACAUGGACGUCUUCAGUGAGGGAAAGGACCCAGGCUCAGAGCCAGGCCUCCUCAGGGCUCAGUUUCCCCAUCUGCCAAACAUGAGGAGUCCUGGGCCAGGCUUCCUCUGGGAGGAAGGGGCGGAGCACUGCCUGUCACAUGUCCUCUGGCAAGUGCCCCAGAGGCAGGGGCAUCCUGAGGGUGUCCUGGUCAGCUGUCCUGGUCAUCCUGUGAUCCCAGGGCGGUCAGCAGACUCCAGCCAAAGCCCCAAGCAGCAGUGAAUGACCCUGGGCCAGUCACUUCCUCUCUUGGGAAGGCUGGGGGCAGCAGGGAGCUCGGCCUCAAAGCCUCAACCCUUGUGUCCGCUUCCUUGUGAGACUCAGUUUCCUUGUCACUGACGGAGGCUCUGCGACCCUGGCCAGGGAAGUUCUCAGGUCUGGAGAAGCCUGAGAAGGGAAAAGGAGACACAGUGGCAUCCAGAGAGCAAGGCUGGGGCAGCGGGAAAUGCAAGUCAUCUCGCAGGGGGAAGUGGGUGCGCCCCAGGAGCCAAUGGGGACAUCCUAGCGUGCCCUGGCCUGCCCACGGGGCCAGCAGCCAGCGCCUCUGUGUCCAGGGCCACCUUCUGCUAUAGCCAGGCCACGACUCUCAGCCCCCAGCACCUGCCCGGCCCCCACCUGGGCCCUGCACCUCUGAGCCCCCUGGACACUGCCCCUUCUCUCUCAACUUCCCCUCCUUGGAGAACUUCCCUCCAGCUGCCUUCUCAGAAAAGCAGACCACACGUGGGGGAGGGAAGAACACCCUGCCCUGCCCUGUGUUAUCGCUGGCCAGACAGGCUGCCAGGGCUGGGCCGGCCCCUCCUGCCCUGCUGAGUUAACUAGGAUUGGAAAAGUUUUUCCAAAGAUAUAAAAAGAGUCAGGCAUUCAUGUUUAUAGCGGCAUAGUUUGUAAAAGGUAAAUCUUGGAAACAGUUCAAAAGCCUAUCAACUGGUGACUGAAUAAAGAAGACGUGGAUUGGGGCAGGGAUUUAGCUCAGUGGUUCUGCCGCCUGCCUCGAAAGCAGAAGGACCUGAGUUUGAUUCCCGGUACCAAAAAAAAAAAAAAAGAUGUGGGUUUUUUUAUAGAAUGGAGUCCUACUCAGCCAUAAAGAAUGAUAAACUAGAGACAUUUAUAGCUAAAUGGAUGCACAUUGAGGCGAUACUCUUAAGUGAAAUAAAUAGGACACACACGUGUAAAUACCAAAUAGUUUCUCCGGUGUGAGUAAAUGAGGACCAAAAUGUAUAAUAGAUGAUGUGAAAUAGGAAGAAAAGGGCCAAAGGGGAAGGGGAAGUGGAAGGGGUAGGGGAAAGGAAAAGAUAUGAGAAAAGGAAAAAACAGAAACAAAGUCUUUGUAAAUAGGGAGGGGUGGAGGGGUUGAAGGGAGGGCAGGGAAGUGGGGAAAAAAAUAAGAACCAAGAUAUAUCAUGUAAAGGUGCAAAUUCCCAGUGAUGAAUGUCCUCAUACUGUAUACCCAAAAUGUACCAAUAAACUUAUAAAUAAAAAAAAAAGUCAGGCAUGGUGAUGCACACCUGUAAUCCCUGCAUUUCAGGAGGCUGAAGCAGGAGGUCUGGAAGGUUGAUUCCAGCUUGGGAAACUUAGAAAGACCAUAUCUCAAAAUAAAAAUAAAUAAAUAAAAAGGGUUGAGGAUGUUCCUCAGUGAAAAGGCCCCGAGAUCAAUAUCCAAUACCAUUAAAG